AUUGAACGCUGGCGGCAGGCCUAACACAUGCAAGUCGAGCGGAGCGGCGGACGGGUGAGUAAUGCCUAGGAAUCUGCCUGGUAGUGGGGGAUAACGUCCGGAAACGGGCGCUAAUACCGCAUACUAUCAGAUGAGCCUAGGUCGGAUUCGCUAGUGGGUGGGGUAAAGGCCUACCAAGGCGACGAUCCGUAACUGGUCUGAGAGGAUGAUCAGUCACACGGGAACGUGGACACGGUCCAGCCUCCUACGGGAGGCAGCAGUGGGGAAUAUUGCACAAUGGGCGCAAGCCUGAUGCAGCCAUGCCGCGUGUAUGAAGAAGGCCUUAGGGUUGUAAAGUACUUUCAGCGGGGAGGCGGUACCCGCAGAAGAAGCACCGGCUAACUCCGUGCCAGCAGCCGCGGUAAUUC
rnacentral:rRNA from 1 species